CUGGAGGACACGUGAGCCRUGCUGGGAAAUGGGGCUUAGCCCCUUGCCGAUUGCUGCUGGGGAGCGGCUUUUGCUGAUGCCUGCCUCGUCUUUGCAGGGAGAGCAGAGAAGGGCUACAAACCCGCGGGGGGUGAGUGAGUGGAGGCAGGCCCGUGGCCCGCCUCCCACUGAGCAGCACCGGCACGAUCCAGUCUCCUCUUGUUCCUAGCAGCAGUGCUGGAGUUUCCCAGUCCAGACGGCUGCGUAGAAAAGCUCCUUUCUCUCUUUAGAAGCAAAGAGCAGUGGUUUGGGUGGUGCAGUUUUGGAAAGGCUGCUCCUGCCCUGCCAGACCCCACUCCUGGCUUUGAGUGCCCCCAUCCUUUGCUCUUGCCCGUGGCCUGGGUGGUGGGGCUGGGCACUGGCUCAGUUCUGUGGCAUCCCCCUGCCCCCGGGGGAGGCUGGUGUGGGAGCGUGGGGCAGUGUGUGGGGCUGCAGAGCUCGCCUGCAGCUGGGAAUCUUGCCAGGUAGCUGCAUGCAGUUCCAUGUUGACCUUGAAUGGCCGUUUCCUCCUUGGUCAGGAGUUGCAAUGGCCCUGCCCAUGCUGCUGUUUCUGCUGGGGGAAAGGAGUGGGGUGUGUGGGGUGAGGAACAGCCGCCUUGGCCAAGAGAAGGAGUCGUCUCUGCACAUAUCAGCUCCCUUUUUCCAUGAUGCCCAUGCCUGGAAGGUGGCUCUGGCAGUGAUGAUGGUGGCUGUGUUAAUGUUGAUAAYUGAUUUAAUUCUCUUCAGUGUUCAUCGGUUUAAGACGAGAGGUAAAAUCCUAACGGGGCAAGGGAGGAACCAUCUAGUUGCAAAGGGAUGUUUUCAGAGGGGUGAGGCCGCGAUGGAGGUGGAGGCCCUGACCCACCUCUGCUAAGGUGCAAAGGGAGCUCCCCCCGGGCAUCACAGCUGUGUUUGCAUCAUGCCUUCAGYGUGCUGAGAACUCAACUUGGGCUCCCGGCAGAAGGCAGGGGGACAUUUGUCUUGAUACUGAACAAAAUAUUUGUCAUUUUGAAAUACAUCCUGAUGAAACCCCAGAAACUGUACUUGUAUAUAUUGGAAAAGGAUGUGUCUGUAUGAGAACCCUCUGUGAUCUCAUAUUCUUGGAUAACAUUACUGUAGACACAAGUAAUCACUCAAAUAUUUKUUUUUGUAAUUUUACUAAAAUUAUGGGCUGUGACUUUAAUUAUUCAGCUCCUGUUGUGUCUUAUCAAUUAUUACAUUCUAAAUAUACCUUAAGUCAAGAUUUAUUGCCUACCCSCAUCGGAAUGAAUCUUACAUUAGUGAAAGAACUACUACAACAUGAUGACCUGUGUCAACUGUUAAAACRCAUCYRAAACAAUGGACAAAAACUCUAAUCACCGUUCAUCAUGAUACAGAAGCGAUACACCACAUCUUGGAAGGAGGAUGGAGAAUAUCAUUGGUGGGAGACUCUUCUGGGAUGGUCACCAACCACAACAGGGUUCUAUAAUCACAUGUUGCACCCAGUAGUAGUUGUGUAAAGUUUAACCGUGCUCUGCCUAUUACUUACAAUCAUAUUACACAUAAGAUCAUGGAGAGUGAUAGUACGGCUCGAAAGGCUUGGAGAACUCUGCUUAACAUAUUAGCAGGAAUGCUUAAUAAAAACAGAGGGAGGACUGUUAGAGAAUAUCA
rnacentral:lncRNA from 1 species